rnacentral:lncRNA from 1 species
AGACCUGACUGUGACAGAGCACCAAGAAAACAAAAUGUUCAAAGAGAGUAAAGAAGACCUUCUACAGCAUUUGCAAGUCUGUCCUUUUCUCUUCAGAGUUACGUAGGAUAACUUAGCCAGAACUUAUGGAUGUCUGCAUGUUCAGUGGACUCGGGAAUGCACUGGGAGAUGCAGAAACGUACUCUUUGGAAGAAACAGGAGAGGAGGCAUUUCAAAGAUCCUGCAGGUGACAAAGGGCCAGUGUAGGUACAGUCACAUCUCUCUCCCAGGAGGACGAUGGGCCAGACUGCAGAGAAAGGCACCAGACAGGGUGAUGAUCUGCUGACAGAAUAAAUAAAUCAUAGAAAGUGCCGACACUGCACAGGCAUUUGCUGUGGUAUCACUCCCACAUGAGGAACCUUCAUCACAGUCUUUCUUCAAGUAUGUUCUCUCCUGUGAGUUCAUUAUUUUGCAGAGGAUGGGUCUUUCUUCCCUGCAGGGAUCUAUCUAUCACUGCUGACUCUCUGCGUCUUCUCCACAUGGAAGAAGUAAUUGGAUUGUAUUUUCUGCACACGACCAAGACAGCAGGGAAACCCACAGCUGUAAGCUAGAGAACCAAGCUGUCUAGAGAGCUGGGCCUGGGCCUCACCAGCAUGCUUAAUGUCAUCAGGACUAAGGACAUGAGGAGAAUGAGGUAUCCCUACCCAGCAGUGACACUAUGCCAGUACAAAGAUCAAAACCCAAAGUGACUGCACCUCAGACAAAGGAGGAGAAAGGGAAGUUGUUGAGGUCACCACAGAGAUGUCUGAUUUACAAUUCCACCAAGGUACAUAUGUUGUGUCACAGCUCCGUCUCUUCUCCCCAGUGCCUGUGGAGGCAUCUUUCAGCAUGACACAUCCCAUCUUUGACUCACCAGGUAAGACUGGGAUAUCAGUAUGAAAAUUAGGCAAAUAUUGACUUCUUUUGACAUAGAAUAACUUUGUUGUACCAAUGAAACAAUAUAUUUAUGUAAUGUUUUCAGCUUACACAUAACUAUGGGCUGGAAUUAGUAGGUUUUUGAAAGAUAGUGCUGAAGAAAGUGAUGUCAGAUACUGUCAGUGCUGGGGUUUAGAAAACCAACCGCUAAUCUAGUGUUUUCCAAUAAGCCACCCUGAUUUGCAGCAUGAAAUAAAAGUUGUCUCCAAAAGUAAGUGAAAUAAACU